rnacentral:rRNA from 1 species
AUUCCACGAGUUCCGUGCCGCAGCUAACGCAUUAAGCGCCCCGCCUGGGGAGUACGGCCGCAAGGCUAAAACUCAAAGGAAUUGACGGGGGCCCGCACAAGCGGCGGAGCAUGCGGAUUAAUUCGAUGCAACGCGAAGAACCUUACCAAGGCUUGACAUACACCGGACACAUCCAGAGAUGGGUGCUUCUUCGGACUGGUGUACAGGUGGUGCAUGGUUGUCGUCAGCUCGUGUCGUGAGAUGUUGGGUUAAGUCCCGCAACGAGCGCAACCCUCGUUCUAUGUUGCCAGCACGUGAUGGUGGGGACUCAUAGGAGACUGCCGGGGUCAACUCGGAGGAAGGUGGGGAUGACGUCAAAUCAUCAUGCCCCUUAUGUCUUGGGCUUCACGCAUGCUACAAUGGCCGGUACAAAGGGCUGCGAUACCGCGAGGUGGAGCGAAUCCCAAAAAACCGGUCUCAGUUCGGAUUGGGGUCUGCAACUCGACCCCAUGAAGUCGGAGUCGCUAGUAAUCGCAGAUCAGCAACGCUGCGGUGAAUACGUUCCCGGGCCUUGUACACACCGCCCGUCAAGUCACGAAAGUCGGUAACACCCGAAGCCG